CUGCUCUCACUUCUCUUCAGCGUGGCUGCUGUUCUUCACUUCUUCCUGAGCUCCACAAAGGAUGAGAAAACAGCUGUGCUCUCCUGAUGACCUGCAAUCCCUCUCCAGGUUCUGGGCAUCUCUUGUUGACACUGGCAUCAGACUGGUAGGGGUGAGAUGGAUUAAGGUUCCCUUUCCUCAGCAACUUUAGCUUGAAGGUCUCUUCACCAGCUUGGCAAGCCUAUGACCAAAGAUGCUCUUCCCCUCCUCUGACAGAUGGACACACACAUGGACUCCUCUGUACUGUAUUAUGCUUGAAUUCCUGUGAUUGCUGAAUCUUCCUGACUCACCUAUA